UACAGAGGUCUCAAGCGUUGUUCGGAUUCAUUGGGCGUAAAGGGUGCGUAGGCGGCGCGGUAAGUCGGGUGUGAAAUCUCUGAGCUUAACUCAGAAACUGCCAUGGAUACUAUCUGUCUUGAAUAUUGUGGAGGUAAGCGGAAUAUGUCAUGUAGCGGUGAAAUGCUUAGAUAUGACAUAGAACACCAAUUGCGAAGGCAGCUUGCUACACAGUUAUUGACGCUGAGGCACGAAAGCGUGGGGAUCAAACAGG
rnacentral:rRNA from 1 species